rnacentral:lncRNA from 1 species
GCCUGGUCCCCGCCCCCACCCUAGUCCCCCUCCUCCAUGGAGGCCUCUGUUCUUUCCUCCCAGGAGGCUGCUGACCCCACCCUGCCCUCAGCCUAAGUGUUCCUGCUCCAGCCUAGGAGAUGAGCAACUCCUGGUCGGUCCUGGCUCCUGUUUGGCCCCCACCCUAAUCAGCUGCUCCCAAUUAAGCUCUCUGACCCAUAUAAACCUCCAGGAAAGUGGCCACCUUUAUGGAGCUCCUUCUUCUGCUUAGCUGAAGAGCAGCUUUCCUUUCUGGGGUGUGGGGAGGAGUUAUGUUGGGGGUUUCUUUGUUCUUUUUUGGGGGAGAGCUUCUGUUCUGGCUGAAUGUGUAAUCUUGGCCCCAGCUGUUUUGUGGACCAAGAGUCCGGGGGUGACUUGCCUGUUUUUCACCAACCCCCACAGCAGUACAGAGACCAAGCUAUUUUUUCUUCAGGAAGCAGCAUGGUGUAGGGGAUAGAGUAUGGGCCUGAAAGUCAGAAGGACCUGGAUUUGAAUUUCCACUCUUCUGGCCUACUGUGUGACCAUGGGUAAGUGACUUAACUUCUCUGGUCUCCAAGCAUC